rnacentral:rRNA from 1 species
UACGUAGGGGGGCGAGCGUUGUCCGGAUUUAUUGGGCGUAAAGAGCGUGUAGGCGGUUCGGUAAGUCUGUCGUGAAAUCCUGAGGCUCAACCUCGGGCGUGCGAUGGAUACUGCCGGGCUAGAGGGUGGUAGAGGCGAGUGGAAUUCCUGGUGUAGCGGUGGAAUGCGCAGAUAUCAGGAGGAACACCAGGUGGCGAAGGCGGGUCUCUGGGCAGUAACUGACGCUGAGGAGCGAAAGCGUGGGGAGCGAACAGGAUUAGACU